GGGGAAUUUUGCGCAAUGGGCGAAAGCCUGACGCAGCAACGCCGCGUGAGUGAUGAAGGCCCUCGGGUCGUAAAGCUCUGUCAGAGGGGAAGAAACUUUUGGGGGAGAAUAUCCCUUGAAACUGACGGUACCCUCAAAGGAAGCACCGGCUAACUCCGUGCCAGCAGCCGCGGUAAUACGGAGGGUGCAAGCGUUGUUCGGAAUUAUUGGGCGUAAAGCGCGUGUAGGCGGCUAUUUAAGUCUGAUGUGAAAGCCCGGGGCUCAACCUCGGAAGUGCAUUGGAAACUGGAUAGCUUGAGUACGGGAGAGGGUAGUGGAAUUUCGAGUGUAGGGGUGAAAUCCGUAGAUAUUCGAAGGAACACCGGUGGCGAAGGCGGCUACCUGGACCGAUACUGACGCUGAGACGCGAAAGCGUGGGGAGCAAAC
rnacentral:rRNA from 1 species